AGUGAACGCUGGCGGUAGGCCUAACACAUGCAAGUCGAACGGCAGCACAGUAAGAGCUUGCUCUUACGGGUGGCGAGUGGCGGACGGGUGAGGAAUACAUCGGAAUCUACUUUUUCGUGGGGGCUAACGUAGGGAAACUUACGCUAAUACCGCAUACGACCUACGGGUGAAAGCAGGGGAUCUUCGGACCUUGCGCGAUUGAAUGAGCCGAUGUCGGAUUAGCUAGUUGGCGGGGUAAAGGCCCACCAAGGCGACGAUCCGUAGCUGGUCUGAGAGGAUGAUCAGCCACACUGGAACUGAGACACGGUCCAGACUCCUACGGGAGGCAGCAGUGGGGAAUAUUGGACAAUGGGCGCAAGCCUGAUCCAGCCAUACCGCGUGGGUGAAGAAGGCCUUCGGGUUGUAAAGCACUUUUGUUGGGAAAGAAAAGCAGCAGGUUAAUACCCCGCUGUUCUGACGGUACCAAAAGAAUAAGCACCGGCUAACUUCGUG
rnacentral:rRNA from 1 species